rnacentral:rRNA from 1 species
AGUGAACGCUGGCGGUAGGCCUAACACAUGCAAGUCGAACGGCAGCACAGUAAGAGCUUGCUCUUACGGGUGGCGAGUGGCGGACGGGUGAGGAAUACAUCGGAAUCUACUUUUUCGUGGGGGAUAACGUAGGGAAACUUACGCUAAUACCGCAUACGACCUACGGGUGAAAGCAGGGGAUCUUCGGACCUUGCGCGAUUGAAUGAGCCGAUGUCGGAUUAGCUAGUUGGCGGGGUAAAGGCCCACCAAGGCGACGAUCCGUAGCUGGUCUGAGAGGAUGAUCGGCCACACUGGAACUGAGACACGGUCCAGAGUCCUAAGGGAGGCAGCAGGAGGGAAUGUUGGGCAAUGGGCGAAAGCUUGAAGGAGCUAUGCCGCGUGAGUGAAGAAGGCCUUCGGAUCGUAAAGCUCUGUUAUUAGGAAAGAACAAAAGCAUACGGAAACCUGGCUGUCCUGACGGUACCUAAUCAGAAAGCAACGGCUAACUACGUG